rnacentral:lncRNA from 1 species
GAAAGAGAAAUGGCUGCCCCUGCACCACUUACCGCGAAGGAGGCUCAAGGCUGGGGGGCCCCUCUGCCUUCCAGUGACCGCCCGUGUCACAUCCUGACCCGCUCAGCAGGAGAACACAGCAGGUCCCUCCGACCGCAGUCGGCCUCUCCAGCCUGCCAUGCCUCUGGCCAUGAGGCGACCCGCUGGAGUGAUGGAUUCCCGUCACUACCACCCACAGGGCGAGGGGGUGCAUUGGUCUGCUUGGGCCGCUGUAACAAAAUGCCACAGCCUGGAUGAGUGACUGACAUUGCUUCCCCACCGUUCUGGAGGCUGGAGGCCCGAGAUCGAGGUCCCUGACACUAUUUCAGUGAUGCCAGAGCCCAGGAGGAGUCGACCAAGCCCCAGCGUGGCCAUAAGCACCUUCGCAGGACCACGGAGUCGCUGCAGGUGUUCAGCCCUGUUGAGAGUGGGAGUCGGUGUCGAUGGUCACAGCUCAGUAACUCAUCGUCACCAGCGAGUACCACAGAGCAGACACAACUGCACUUCUCUGUAGAGCCUCCAGUCGAUACUGAGAGCCACUGGGGCGUCUGACACCCAAGGGUGCAGACAUUCACUCCAAGUCCAGAGACCGCGCCCUUUCUAAGGCCCUGUCUCACAGUCGCCCCGUGCUCAUUGUGCCGGAUGUUUCCACAGCCACAGAGACGGUGCGUGAAGGUGGGUGAUUCAGGGUGGGCACUCCAGGUACAGAACCCAGAGGUGCUUCCCGCCCCCCUACCAGGCCUUACCCCCGCCCCCUCCCUCAGCAGCAGCAGGGUUGGGCCAGGGCCUUCCUUGACAUCCACCAUGUAUUCCAGUGAUAGUUUAAGUAGAUCCCACACUAAAUGGCCCACUAAAGACACGAUUUUGCCUCGGGAAAUCUUUCUGAGUUUAGUCCACAUGCUGAUUUCAUGUUCAGGGGGUGAAUGUUAAAAUCUCUACUUAACAAGGUGAGGUGCAGCCUAGUGCAUAUGACUGACAGAAACGUGAAGCCACAGUGGACGCCUGGAUGAGACACAGAUCACCUUCCAAAUCUGAGUGUGGCCUUGGGACCAACCAGGCAGCCAGGGAGAAGGCAGAGACCAGAGGGAACCCAGGUGCCCUCAAUCCCAGCCUCCUCUAUCCCAGCCUCCCAAUCCCAGCCUCCCCAAUCCCAGCCUCCUAAUCCCAGCCUCCUCCAUCCCAGGACCCCCACUCCCAGCCUCCCGAUCCCAGCUUCUCUGAUCCCAGCCUCCCCUAAAACCCAGACUCUAUGAAUCCCAGCCUCUGAGGUGGGAACUGUUAGUAACCCCACUCCAUGGACAAGAAAGCUGGGGCCUGGCGAGGCUAACAGACUAUCCUGAUGGUGUGAGGGAGGGAUCGGCCUCUGAGGGCUGCUUCCACCCAUCUCACCAGUGGCUGCAGGCUCCAGGCGCCACUUUCCUUGAGUCUAUGUUCUUUCCAAGCAUCCUGCAGCUCCAGAAGCUCUGGAGCCGCCAGCACUGAGAGAAGCGAUGGAGCUGCAUGCAGGGUGAGUGUAGGACCGGGCGGAGCUGCUCUGUGGCUGGCGGGCACAUUCUUUGUCAACAUGAGCAUCUCUCACUGUUCCUAGACCCCCUGGCUCCCCAGCUUCCUUGGAGCCAGGCGUGGCCACAGGAAAAUGUUUAGGUCAAUGACAGGUGAGCAAAAGUGUGAAUACAACCUCCAGGAGUUUUCUUAAAGGAAGGGACAGGCCCUUCCCCUCCUCAUGUCUCCUUCUGGCUGCCUGGAAGGCACAUGUGAGGGCUGGAGCCUGAGCAGCCACCUUGGGCCAUCAGGAGGAAGCCUGUGCUGCAAUGGUAACUCAGUGACUUGGCGAGACUCACAGAGCCUGCAUUCCCGACACCUGGUGCCCUAUACCAGCCCCGGGCAUAUUCUUAGUGUGGGAGAAAAAUCAGCUUUGGUCUAGCUUAAGACUCUGGGUGGGGCACGGAAUGGGAUAGAAUGGGGAGUCCGGUUCCCCCAGCUGAGCCAGGUGACCAUUCCUCAGGAAACUUUGUUGACAGCGGUGUCUGGAUGGACCAGCAGAGGGCACUCUCACCCACGGGGAAAAUCGUGCGCCCGGCCUCGUCCACCGCCAGAAGACGCCGCUACACAGUGAGUCAUUCCACAAAUCCCUGCUCUCACGGGAUCUCUGGAGAUAAAGGCAGUUGAGAAUCGACAAAUAGGACUGUUUCUCCGUUUAUGAAAUUUGAGCUGCCCUUAGACUUCACGGCAGAGAAUAUAGAGACAGUAAACCCUGGGGUUGAAGAUGGGACCACGAACCUGGGGCCACCUUCUAGGGACGGGUGCUUCGUGUGGGGCAUCCCGGGGAGGGGGUGCCCUGGAGCCUGAGUCAGUGCCAGGCACCUUGAGUCUAACGCUCUCAGUGCAGUUGCCUCCUUUGAAAAAUAAAAGGCUUGGACAAAAUAAGCU